CCUCAGAGCCCAUACGGGUGAAAUGUGAGACGUAACUUUGCCUUGUGUGGCCCUAAUGAACAUAAGGUGGGCAAAGCUGCUGGAGCAUCCUCAUGCCAUGAUCUUCGAGGAGCAACAUCACAGUGCAGUGCCUUGUCAUGGUGGGGAAUGGCAUUGAGAGCUGCUGGCCACCAGGAAGGAGACAGAGGGAAGGUGACCAUCUUUCCAAAAUGGAGCAUGCAGCAGCUGCCUGUGAUGCUGCCUUGCAAAAGUGGUGGGGAAGUAUUUACAUUAUUAAACAUUGUGAUGACAAGUGUCUUGGGAUCUUGCAAGGCUGUAUUGCUAAGUAAGGCAACAAGCAAUGUAACUCCUGGCAUAUGUUGAAGUAACUAAAUGGAUCCAAUGACAAUUCAUUUUUUAAUAGAUGAAAGAGAAGCAGGCUUCAAAACAGAUAAUGAAUUUCUUCUAACUCGUCUGGAGACUGAAGAGCCAUAAUUCUGAUUGAUCAGAUAUGGUCUGCUUCAGAGAGGCACCAGAUGUGAUCCAGAUUUUAAAUAGAUGCUGCUACUGUCAAAAUGCAUUCGCUCCCUCCUGGUAUAACAAAGUAAAGUCCAUCUGUCUGGAGUUGUGCACUUUUUUUAGUGGUAAUAACAGUUAACAUCAACAAUAA